rnacentral:rRNA from 1 species
AAAUUGAAGAGUUUGAUCAUGGCUCAGAUUGAACGCUGGCGGCAGGCCUAACACAUGCAAGUCGAGCGGUAGCACAGAGAGCUUGCUCUCGGGUGACGAGCGGCGGACGGGUGAGUAAUGUCUGGGAAACUGCCUGAUGGAGGGGGAUAACUACUGGAAACGGUAGCUAAUACCGCAUAACGUCGCAAGACCAAAGUGGGGGACCUUCGGGCCUCAUGCCAUCAGAUGUGCCCAGAUGGGAUUAGCUAGUAGGUGGGGUAACGGCUCACCUAGGCGACGAUCCCUAGCUGGUCUGAGAGGAUGACCAGCCACACUGGAACUGAGACACGGUCCAGACUCCUACGGGAGGCAGCAGUAGGGAAUAUUGCACAAUGGGCGCAAGCCUGAUGCAGCCA